rnacentral:rRNA from 1 species
AUUGAACGCUGGCGGCAGGCCUAACACAUGCAAGUCGAACGAGUGGCGGACGGGUGAGUAAUGUCUGGGAAACUGCCUGAUGGAGGGGGAUAACUACUGGAAACGGUAGCUAAUACCGCAUACCAUCGGAUGUGCCCAGAUGGGAUUAGCUAGUAGGUGGGUGAAAGGCUCACCUAGGCGACGAUCCCUAGCUGGUCUGAGAGGAUGACCAGCCACACUGGAACUGAGACACUGUCGAGACUCCUACGUGAGGCAGCAGCGGGGAAGAUUGCACAAUGGGUGCAAGCCUGAUGAAGCCAUGCCGCGUGUAUGAAGAAGGCCUUAGGGUUGUAAAGUACUUUCAGCGGGGAGGCGUUACCCGCAGAAGAAGCACCGGCUAACUCCGUGCCAGCAGCCGCGGUAAUUC